rnacentral:rRNA from 1 species
GACGAACGCUGGCGGCGUGCUUAACACAUGCAAGUCGAACGGAAAGGCCCUGCUUUUGUGGGGUGCUCGAGUGGCGAACGGGUGAGUAACACGUGAGUAACCUGCCCUUGACUUUGGGAUAACUUCAGGAAACUGGGGCUAAUACCGGAUAGGAGCUCCUGCUGCAUGGUGGGGGUUGGAAAGUUUCGGCGGUUGGGGAUGGACUCGCGGCUUAGCAGCUUGUUGGUGGGGUAGUGGCUUACCAAGGCUUGGACGGGUAGCCGGCCUGAGAGGGUGACCGGCCACAUUGGGACUGAGAUACGGCCCAGAGGCCUACGGGGGGCAGCAGUGGGAAAUAUUGCACAAUGGGCGGAAGCCGGAUGCAGCAACGCCGCGUGCGGGAUGACGGCCUUCGGGUUAUAAACCGCGUUCGCCUGUGACGAAGCGUGAGUGACGGUAAUGGGUAAAGAAGCACCGGCUAACUACGUG